rnacentral:tRNA from 1 species
AAAUAUGAAUCAUUAUAAUAUGAAUUUAGUUUCGACCUAAAAAAAGAAAUAAAAUAAAUUUUCCAUAUUUA